AGCAUUCUGUACCAGGCACGGCAUACUGGGAGUUGUAGUGGACACUGCAAGUCCCAGUAUGCCACCCCCCGCUGUUUUUCUAGGCACGCUCUCUUGUAAGGCGGUCCCCGAAAACUGACAACCCAGCAUCAUCAUACCGUCGCCGGCAGAGGCCACUGCUGCGGUUGCACGUCCUGUCGCUAGGUGGCGCCCUGUCUGCAUGAUCCCCCUGACUGCUGUCUGCUGCGCGGCCGCUAGAUGUCGCCUUGAUGUUGUUGGUAGCAUUGCCGGGCGGUAGGCUGGCGGUAGAAGAUGGCGGUGCGGAAGAAGGACGGCGGUCCGAACGUGAAAUAUUAUGAGUCCUCUGACACUAUUUCUCAGUUCGACAACGUGCGGCUAUGGCUGGGGAAAAACUACAAGAAGUACAUUCAGGCCGAGCCGCCUACUAACAAGUCUCUGUCCAGUCUGGUGGUCCAGCUCUUGCAGUUCCAAGAAGAGGUCUUUGGAAAACAUGUCAGCAAUGCCCCGCUCACUAAAUUGCCGAUGAAAUGCUUUCUGGAUUUCAAGGUUGGGGGAGCGCUAUGUCAUAUACUUGCUGCUGCUUAUAAGUUCAAGAGUGACCAGGGAUGGCGUAGGUUUGAUUUCCAGAACCCAUCACGAAUGGAUCGUAAUGUGGAAAUGUUUAUGAACAUAGAAAAGUCCCUUGUGCAGAAUAACUGUUUAUCCAGACCAAAUAUAUACCUUCAUGCAGACAUCGAUUCAAAGCUGCAGAGCAAGCUUAAAGACAUUGUGAAAAGACACCAGGGUACAGUGACAGAGGACAAAGGUCACUCUUCCCAUGUUGUCAUCCCAGUUCCCGGCACUUUGGAGGAAGAGGAAUGGGUGCGACCCAUAAUGAAGAGAGACAAGCAGGUACUUCUUCACUGGGGUUAUUAUCCUGAUAGUUAUGACACCUGGAUCCCUGCCAGUGAGGUAGAAGCUCCAGUUGAGGAUACACCAACUCCAGAAAAACCACGCAAGGUGCAUGCCAAAUGGAUUCUGGACACUGAUUUAUUUAACGAGUGGAUGAAUGAAGAGGAUUAUGAGGUGAAUGAUGAGCGGAGUCCUGUCGCACGUCGUAAGAAGAUCUCAGCCAAGACAUUAACAGAUGAAGUAAGCAGCCCUGAUUCGGAUCGCAGAGACAAGAAGGGACCUAAUUACAAGAAGAGGAAACGCUCUCCUUCACCUCCCCCAAGUGCAGAGGCAAAGAAGAAGAAUGUGAAGAAAGGGCCAACUACUCCUUAUAGUAAAUCGAAGAGGGGCCACCGGGAGGAAGAACAAGAGGAUCUGACAAAGGACAUGGAUGAACCAUCACCUGUGCCUAAUGUAGAAGAAGUUACACUACCCAAAACAGUUAACACCAAGAAAGAUUCUGAAUCGGCCCCAGUGAAAGGAGGCACUGUCACUGAUCUGGAUGAACAAGAAGAUGAGAGCAUGGAAGCUGUGACAAAGGAAGAAGAUGAAAAUUCUUCAGUGAUAAAAAGUGAACAAGUGAAGACCUCUGAUCUUCAUGAAGACAAUGUAACUGAGCAAACACAUCACAUUAUCAUCCCCAGUUAUGCAGCAUGGUUUGACUAUAAUAGUGUACAUGCCAUUGAACGUCGAGCACUGCCAGAGUUCUUUAACGGCAAGAACAAGUCAAAAACGCCAGAGAUCUACUUGGCGUAUCGAAACUUCAUGAUUGACACCUAUCGACUCAACCCUCAGGAAUACCUCACUUCCACAGCAUGCCGACGCAACUUGGCAGGGGAUGUCUGUGCUAUCAUGAGGGUUCAUGCCUUCUUAGAACAGUGGGGUCUGAUUAACUAUCAGGUGGAUGCUGAGAGUCGCCCUACACCAAUGGGACCACCUCCCACUUCACAUUUUCAUGUCUUAGCUGAUACACCAUCAGGAUUGGUACCACUGCAGCCCAAAACACCUCAGACCUCUGCCUCACAACAGAUGCUAAAUUUCCCUGAUAAAAGUAAAGAGAAACCAAGUGACCUGCAGAACUUUGGCCUGAGGACUGAUAUGUACAGCAAGAAGAACACAACCUCCAAGAGUAAAUCUGCUGCAAGCGCAACACGGGAAUGGACAGAACAGGAGACUCUACUACUGCUUGAGGCACUUGAAAUGUAUAAAGAUGACUGGAACAAGGUCUCUGAACAUGUUGGUAGUCGUACUCAAGAUGAAUGUAUCUUGCACUUCCUGCGGCUUCCCAUUGAGGAUCCCUAUUUAGAAGACUCUGAAGCCUCCCUUGGCCCUCUUGCCUACCAACCUAUACCGUUUAGCCAAUCCGGCAACCCUGUAAUGAGCACUGUAGCAUUUCUGGCGUCUGUGGUGGACCCUCGUGUAGCCUCUGCUGCAGCGAAGUCAGCUCUUGAUGAAUUUUCCAAGAUGAAGGAGGAAGUUCCCACAGCGUUAGUAGAAGCUCAUGUCCGCAAGGUGGAAGACGCUGCCAAAAUGACGGGUAAAGCUGACCCCAGCUAUGGGCUUGAGAGCAGUGGUAUAGCUGGCACUACCUAUGAAGAGAACGAGCGGAUAGAUUGUCCCAAAAGGAACACCCAUGAAACCCAUGAGGAAAAUAAUACAGAGGAGCCCCCUUUGGAAGCACAGACCACAGAAGAAAAAAAAGAACCAAAGGAUUCGCCCUGUGAAGCUGGCUCAGAGGAUGACUUGAAGGAACGCGUGAGUGAUGCUGUAAAAAAGGAGGAUGAGAAGAACAAAGAUGUAGACAGCGAUAAAGACUCAGAGAAGAGUGAUGUUGAUAUGGCUGAUGGAGAGAAAGUUUCAGAUGGUAAAGAAGGAUCCGAAGAGACAGAUAAGGAAGACAGUGAUGGGAAGAACAAGGUAGAGAGAGACAUCGGAGAGGGCAACUUGUCUACAGCUGCUGCUGCUGCAUUGGCAGCUGCUGCUGUAAAGGCUAAGCAUUUGGCAGCUGUGGAGGAGCGAAAGAUCAAGUCCCUGGUGGCUCUGCUGGUAGAGACUCAGAUGAAGAAGCUAGAAAUCAAACUGAGGCACUUUGAGGAGCUGGAGACCAUCAUGGACAGAGAAAGGGAAGCGUUGGAAUACCAGCGCCAGCAGCUUCUAGCAGACAGACAGUCCUUCCACAUGGAACAGUUAAAAUAUGCAGAGCUGAGAGCCCGUCAGCAGCACUUCCAGCACAUUCAGAAUCAACACCAGCAACAACAUCAGACCCCACCAGGCAGUCAACCUGUGCCACCCACUGCUCAUUCCAUUCCAGUGCCACAGGUGUCUCUCACACCUGCGCCUGGGAGCACAGCAGGGAAUUCGGAAGGUAUUGGUCAGCCGAAUGCACCCUCAGCACAGCCACCAGUGAACAGUCAGCAGCAGGGAGGAACCCAGCCCAGCCCCGCACAUGGUUCUGGUGCAUACACAGGUCAACCAGCACCUAACCCAAUGAUCCCAUCAGCAGUACCAGUACCAGUUCCAGCCCAGCCACCGGUGCCCGGUAAUCAGCAUCCCAGCAUGCAUUUACCUGUCCCAUUUAAUCUGGGUAGUGACUUAGUUGACUCUGUUCAUCACAACCCACCACCAACUAACCCCUACACAAUUCAUCAUCCCAUGCAUGGCACCUUCCCUCCUGCAGCAUGUCGGGUUGGUGGGGCAUCUCCACUUGCACAUAACCCUGCCAUUACCAUGUCUCCAGCUCCUCCUAACUUGCCAUCCUCCCUGGGUUCAGCUGCUUCUCAUAGCCCCGCGAUCGUAGCCGCAAUGCAGGGAGGGGCUGCCGUCACUUCCAGUCCUGUGCCAGGGACAGAUCUAGGGAUUUAAGAAAUCAGCCUUGUGUCUUAAUUUCUCAUGACAUAUAAACUUUAAAUUGGUUACAAAACUUCAGUGGUCAAGAUUUAGUCUGAGCCGUGAUUCAGCGGCAGAUCCUGUAAUACACUAGACUCUGCGACAUCUCUUCCUCCAGAAUCUAUUGGAAACACGGUUCCCCCAGCCCAACAGUAAUAGUGGGACAUUUAUUUUUUGAGGGGAAACGGUGAAAUGGGGAAGUAGUGAAAAGUUUGUGGAAAUCUCUUUCUACCACUGGUUCCUGUGUCUCUGAUCUCUCCAGGAACACGAUGCCCCUUUCGUGUCAUGACCAUAAUUUGUUUUAUUUGAUGACUGACCCGCACAACAGUGGUUUGCUGUUCAGGGAUAAACCGCAGAAAAGUAUUCCCCAAGGGACCUGUAAUGGAGGAGGAUAGAACUUGGCAGGAUCCACUGUUACAGCUUUCUCUAUUUGAGGGGUACAGAAACGUAGUACACAGCAAAACUACACUGUGUGUAUUUGCAAUAAAUGGCGACAGAUGAACGAGCUUGUUACGAUUACAAUCUAAGGACUGGAUGGGAACUGAUCUGGUUUACACAGGAGUCUGUUCACGUUAUACAAGAACCACAGCCACUAACCUGAGAGAGGAUGCUCACCUAUUCUAUUCCUAAUGGAACCACGUUAUGUACUGUGCAGAGUUCAAUCCUCCCUCACAGAGAAAGAGUAUUGGAGAAGAAAACUAUGCCGAGACAUUGAGCACAUGUUGCUGUAUUGGGGAUUUCCAGUCCUGGAUUAUUGGCAGCACUGAUUAUUACAUUUCUGUUAGAGGUCUGGGAAAUUAAUCUAUUGGUAUUUCACAUGUCGGUGACUCAUGGUUGUUAUUCCAGGACCAGAGCCCUUUGUUUUUGCAUCUUUGCCUCUGCUGUAAGUGGUGCAGAGGGAGCAGAUCUUUCCAGCAAUGGUAUCUAGGACAGUGGUCAUUGCACUUGCACAGACAGGGUUCAAGGUCAUUUCAUUGUUUCAUAUCUGUUGGAUGCUAUACGAGUUACAUAUCCCUAUGAUUUCUUUGUCCAAGCUGGAGAAAGGUGCAUAGCUGUGUGCUCCUCAGAAGCACUGGGCUGUUGUGUCUGUAGGAGGAGAGGCUGAGAAGUGUGUACACCUGAAGGAUGGCAAUUGAGAAUCUCUGUGUCUCAUUCUAUAGUGCACUAUUUGACCUUUGGUAAAAUAUUUUAACUUUUAACUAUAUAAGCUUUUUUUUUAUUUUAAAUCAUUGUAUUUUAAAUAUUUUUGAGCAGGGAUGGGUGAUGGGGGGGUUCGGAGUGCACUUUAAUGAGAGGAGGCUCGCAGCAUUUUAUGUUUGUUUUUACUGCAAGGUCUUCUAGCUAGAGAGGGAAUUUUUGGGUGAUUUGCUGGCACAUUUAAGGGAGACGCCUCUCAUCUUUUUCUUGGGUGAGUAACCUCCUUAGAACUCUUGAUUGCCACCUGGUUGUGCUGCCCCAUCGGUCUGUUCAUGUUACCUGUACCUUAUCCUGUGUCUGUGUAUCUUACAAUUCCUCAGUCAUGGGGUAUUAAAAUCUUAAAAUUUAUAAA